AGCUUCAUGAUGUGCUUGACUCCAUAUUUAUGCUGCUGGAGGACAAUAUUGUCACUUUUGUGAAGAAAGAACUGAAGAAGAUCCAGAAAGAUCUGAGUCCAGAUUACCCAGAAAAUUCAGAGAGUCAGAGAGAUGACGAUGUGUUGGAAGCUGAUGAUGAAGAACAGAGGAGGAGCAGCAGAGAGGCAGUGAUGAAGAUCACACUGAACUUCCUGAGGAGGAUGAAGCAGGAAAAGCUGUCUGACCGUCUGCA